CCCUUAGAUGUUCUGGGCCGCACACGCGCUACACUGGCAGGUUCAUCGAGCUUCAUGCCCUGAUCUGAGAAGAACGGGAAAUCUUUGAACACCUGCCGUGCUUGGGAUAGAUGUUUGCAAUUAUUCAUCUUCAACGAGGAUUGCCUUGUAAGCGCACGUCAUCAGCGUGCAUUGAAUACGACCCUGUAUUCUGUACACACCGCCCGUCGCUCCUACCGAUUGAAGUUUUCGGUGAAUUUACUGGAGAUCCCUUUUGAAGGUGGUUCGCCGCUGGAAGAAGUAUUCAAAAGUAAAUGAAUCGAAUGCUUUAGAGGAAGGAGAAGUCGUAACA
rnacentral:rRNA from 1 species